CAACUCAUAGUUUUCUCCGACCAAAAAUCACCGAUUGCAAAUCCUUUUCUCCGUCUUUUUGCCGCUGAUGAUCUCUUCUCCGUUGUCUGUUGUCUAUUCUGUCCGCCGAUCUCUUGUCAUCGGUUAUUCUUUCUCUGUUGUCUUCCUUCGUUUUCUCCGAUCAGGUAUUCUCUCUUCUCAUCGUUUGCUCUGUAAUUGUUUUUUCUUAUUGAUUUGCUUAUCCUAAACAAAAUUUACCUGCAUGUGUUGUGUCUCCUAUGCUCUUUCGUUUGUCUCUUUAUUCGAUUUGUGUAUUCUGGUUUAGAAUUUUAGGGUUUGUGAUGGUUUGUGGGUAAUCCAAUUGAUAUAUAUGAUGGUUUGUGGGUAAUUGCUUGUUUGCUCCUUUGGUUGCUCUCUAUCAAGGUACCAUAUAAUUGUUUGCUCUUUUGUUUGUUAUGUAUCAAGCUACGGUUGAUAUAUUUGAAGGAUAUCGUUCAUUGUUUGCUUGAAUUUGAGUAAUUUUCUUGCUAGGAAAGUUCUUCAAUUGUUUGCUUGCUAAAGACUCAUUGCUAAUGUAGUGUGUUUGUUUAAAAUCGUGUUUGCUAAUGAUGUGUGUUUAAUAGAGAGUCUUUUGUUGGUGAAUGUCAUAUGAUUGUUUGCUAACGAUCUGUGUUUUUGUUUGCAACUUGUGAGCUUUGAUUGGUUUGUAAAGGAGACCGAAGCCACAGCUGUGAGGAGUAUCAAUAGCGAGAAGCAUUCCAUUUUUGAUUUGCAAGUUGUGAGGUCAAAUCUCUCUCUUCAACAGUCAAUGCAUCGAAGCUUCAAGCUACCAUGAAGACAGUCCUGCAGAGCGCAAAGAAAGAAGGAUGUGGACGCCUACAGAUGAUGUCCUUCUCAUAUCCGCAUGGCUAAACACGUCAAAACCCGGUAGUUGGCAACAAGCAUAAGUCUGGUGAAUUCUAGAAACGGAUAACAGCAAACUUUGCUGCUAGUCUGAAGGCUGCAGGAAGAGAAAGAAGAGAAGCAAUCACAUGUCAGGCAAGGUGGCAAAAAAAUUAAUGACUAGGUGUGCAAGUUCUGUGGAGCUUACGAGGCUGCAACAAGAGAGAGAGCUUCUGGACAUAAUGACAAUGAUGUCUUCAAACUCGCACAUGAGAUCUUCUUCAACGACCACAAGAAAAACUUUACUUUGGACCAUGUGUGGAAGGAGAUAAGGAAUGACCAGAAGUGGUGUGAGGUAUCUGCAAAUGAGGUAUCUGCAAAUAAAACUGAAGGAGUGGCUAAAAGGAGAAGGUGCGACGAUGGUCCACAUUCAUCAAGUUUUGUCGCAGUAGAAAAAUGAUGUGAUCAUGGAACCGGAAGCAUAAGUAGAAGUUCCAGAAUCAGCCUUAGUCGUGCCAGGGGGUCCCGUUACGUGGUCAAAGUCCCGGAAGCUUGCUGGAGCUGUUCGGAGUUUGCUUAAUAAAGGUAGGAUUAGAACGGACUAGCUUACACCCAAUGCCUUAAACAUACUCACGUACCAGAGUUCUUGCUGAGGUUGGCCACGGUGUAAGUCAUGGUACUCUUUUUCUUUACACUCAGUUUUGUCCCAAUGGAUUUUUCGGGUGAGGUUUUAACGAGGUCAUGGCUUACAUCCUAUUCACGGCCUAUGUUCAGUAAGGCUCGUUAAGAAGUUUAAGGGUCAUUUUUGGCUGGGAGUCCAAGGAUCAGUCAAAGACCAGUCGAAGGGACAUUCAACUAUUUUAGUUCUUAGUCAAAGACUUCAUUUAUUUCGGUCUUAGUUAUUUAUUAUUCUUUAUAAUUUUUGAGUAUGGCUUUUCACCUGAUCCUACUCCUUACGAUGUGGGGGUCUCAAAUCUCAUUCAUUCACUUUUCAA